CUCUUUUCAGUGUCCUCGCACCGACUGGGGAAAGAAUUUAGAGCCGAUUGCAAUAUGAACUUGAAACGUUUUCUUUCUCGUAGUACGUUCACUGACUUGAAGGCAACAUGCGUCAGCUAAAUGACAUUACAGGUCAUUUAGCUGACGCUUUCAUCCAAAGCGACUUUCAUUGCGUUUAUAACCCGGGGCUUUUUGCAUGUUUGCCCGGGGAGCAAUAAGGGGUUAGGUGUCUUGCUCAGGGACACUUCGAUAUGGGACAUGGAGCCGCCGGGUCUCUAACCGCCAACCUUGUGGUUCCCAGCGCACCCUCUCUACCUCUGCGCCACGUCGACCCGCCUGUUGACGCACAAGUUGUGACCACUGGUGUCGUAUUUACAGAGAAGUCGGACUGGUCCCAGUUCACAUGAUCUUCUCAGUAACUCAAGACCACCUAACCGGUUACCGCUAGGCAGAUCCCCUGGGGGGCGUUGAGACUGUAAAGUUAACAUGGAGUCGGUGUGUACACACGCUAAAACAAUGGCGACAUGCAUGUCGUCCUUCCGCCGCUGGUUGUCGAGGUGGUGCCCAGUAAAUAAUGUGGGCUUCGUUGAUCACUGGAAGAUGUUUUGGUCUGAUUAGGACGGCAUCCAUCGCACUUCAAAGGAUCUGAUGCAGUUUCUUUGUGGAGCGUAUCCAUGGCCACCCAGAGAUCGGAUCAGGAAGCAGGGUCACAGUUUUACACACUUCUCUGCAGGCCCACCCAAAACAUUUUAAAGUUAUUUAAAUCCAAGGAGGUGGAGUGGCAGCUGUUUUUGACUUGAGCCUUUCAAUAAACCCUAAACCUGAACUACCUUCAGCAGCGGCUGGUUCGAGGUCGGGCAAUUGAAUCAAUUUAAGCAAACAUCCCAGGUGGAUUUGAUGCAAAAGGAGGAUUGAGAAUGUCGUCCGCCUGUCGAUACCACCCUCGAUGAGAACGCGUAAGCUCACGUCUGGAAGCAUUAUGAAGAAACAAAGGCAGAAAAUCCUGUGAACAAUUAGAUUUGGCUGCAAGAAACGCACUCAGGUGUGGACUCGCGUUUUCUGAAGGAAUUAGAAACAAAGAACUCCAGCCAACAAAUUUUGAGGUCAAUCGAUCUUUGGACACAACGUGUCUGCAGUGAUUACGUAAUUUAGUAGUGUUUGUUUGUAAGCUUUAGACUCAUGAACAUGCUAAGGAGGAUCCCCUCUACUGGAGUGACACAAAUAAAACUAAAACAGAGCCGAUCACAUUUGGUUGCCUGAUCCUGAUGCUCUGCUGUAACGCUUUGACACCUUGAAAAACAUCAGCCUGUUAUCACCUACGCAGACAGUGGUUGCCUGUUUCUGACUCACCGAAGAUGAGUAACUGAGCUAAAAAAAACUACUGUGGGGAUGAAAAGUUUCAUGGGAAACAUUUUCUAUCAACGAGACAAAAUGUUGAAUAGAACAAGUUCUUGAAAGCCAUACAACCAGCCAUGUCAGCGCGUCUAACCCG
ensembl:lncRNA